CAACCCCGAAGCCGCCUGUUUACACCUUUAAAACAAUGAUAUGAAUAUUUAAAAACAACGGUUAACCCUCUCCUUCUCGGCCACGUUUUUCAUUUGUUCAAACGAAGGCGCCAAGCGGGCCGCAAAGCCGGGGGAGCACGAGUCUCACUCUGUCCAGUAGACGGCAGCAUAACCUAAUGCUCUGAGUCAGGAUCCUUGCUGCUGGAGUUGGCUCUGACCCAGGAAGGAGGACGCUUUCCUCGGUUCUGUGCUUACAUUUCCUUCUCUACAUCCUGAAAAAGGAAUUACUACUCCUCAGAUACUGUCCUGGACAUUUGCAUUCCUCUGCUUAGUUAACUUGUCAGAAACCACAUGAUGAUGACUCAGAGACGCUCGCCUGCCACACAGCAGAAGCUCAGAGCUGUUGCCAGCCUGCGCUGGAUCUGGAAGCUGGCAGAAGACCCAGCCAGGUCCUCGAGAUGCUCCAGCCCAACCUGUUUACCUUGUGAGCUGCAGAAAGCGUGCGCUCCCUCUGCCGCAGCUCUGUCCCCGUGUGAUUACAUCUUUCCUUGGUGUUCUGAGCCUUAAGUUUUGGAUGCAGUGAUGAUGUAUUAUGAAACCAAACAAAUCAGUCCUUAGGACAGACGACUCGGGAAAAUCAACCAUCACCUCCAAGAUAAAACAAGCUUUCAACCCCACAAGAGAAAACAGGAUUGUAAUGCCUUCCUAACAACAUUGCUUUAUUGAU